AAUCAGAACAGGCUGGAGUGGGGGGACCCAGCACCAUAUGGCUUUUCAUUCAGCCAAACUUGUUGUUACUUUAUGUUGUCAAAUAUGUGAUCUCUCUCAACAUGUCAACAUCUUUCCUUCCAAAUUUCUGCGGUGUUAUAAACUGAGUAGUAUCCCCACUGGAGAACAAACCAUUAAUGCUCAUACCGAGAGAAACCUUCAACAGACAAGCUUCAUCAGUCCUCCCUUAGAGCCGACAGCCACAUUCUCCCUCUCUGGAUGCCAGAUAUGUUGCAAUAAUGUUUUCCAUUUGUAACACACUGUUUUCAAUGAAUGGAAUUUUUAAAGCUUGAAUCCACCUAUUUUAUGGAGUCACCCGAUAUGUGGAAAGCCAAGCAGACAACUAAACAACUGCUGGAAUUCAUAAAAAUGCUUAAAAGUUGCCUACUUUCCCUCCGAGCCCCAGAACUUGCAUUUCAUUCUCCCAUGUCUCUCUCUUCCUCCUGACGCUAGAGAUGUGUCAACGAAAAAGGUGUGGCUUAGAGAUUGCAUUUGAACUGUUGCUGAAUCUCCAUUUCUCUUCAUAAUCAUCUCACUUUGGUUUGCUGCGAGCCAGUUACCGCCAAGACUCCAAGAAGGAUCUUCUGCGGUUAAUGUUGGAAUAUCUACACGACACAGGACAUAUCAUGUACACAGACAUCUGGAAGCACAUAAGCACAUACGCACAGACGUUUUUGAUGAAAAGGCCACAGAGUAGCAGUCACCUGCUCCUUGAAGGUACCAUUCGGGUUAUGCAGACAUACCUCUACACCUUUCAAUUUCCAUGUGUGAGCUAAAAUGUAACAUUCCCAUGAUGGCAUAACUAGCUUGCCGCCUUUCUCUGCUGGAGCACGUGAGCAGCCCAGUACAGUUGGGAACUCUUCCCAACAGAAAGGAGUGACUCUACAGGAUGCUGAAUGGCAGAUGGAAGAAUUGCGAAGAAUGUAGUAGUAUUUUACCUGUGGUCUUUUAUAUGUUUCUGAGCUGGUGAAUGAGAAUGGAGUCACAGGAUCCAUCGAGAGCCAUUCAGUUCCCUCACAAACUAUGAAAAAUGGAUUUUUUUCCUGUAUGUUUUCAGUAAACAACUUCAGACUCAUUAUGUUUGAAAGAGAGUGUUAAAGCAGCAUUGGGAAAAUCAAUUUUGUUUUUGCAGUCCAUUUUGAAACCCGCUAUAUAUUGCCAUGAGCAGCCAGAAAAAGCUCCAGGAGGCCUCUACAGAGAGAUUAAAAAAUGGAAAACAAAACUGCAAACCACACUGCAGAAAAUCUGUUAAAGUCAUUUGUGUGUAAAGUCAUUUUUAGGAUAGCAAAGCAAAGAACAGAUAUCCUAGUGUGUGCCUCCAGAUUCAUGAACUUUUGUACUUUAUUUUCCAUUUAACCCCUCUCUUAAUAGCUUUGAGAAAGUGCUGGAAUAAUUUGUAUUUAUGACAGGCAUCCGUGACUUUUGAUCACAACAAAGCUGUUGAUUCAGAUGGAAAAAAAAAAAAGUCAGUAAACAGAACAAUUUUUUCAGUGAUUUUGGGUAAUAGUCUUUCCUCUAAGCGUAGCUGGGGGUAAGAGGGGGAAAGUGAUUUGGACAAAUAUAGGUAGUGUUUUCUGUCUUCUGAUGUAAAUAAAGAAGCUUGGAAAAGCUU